GACAAACUGGAGGAAGGCGGGGAUGACGUCAAGUCAUCAUGGCCCUUACGGCCAGGGCUACACACGUGCUACAAUGGUCGGUACAAAGGGUUGCUACCUCGCGAGAGGAUGCUAAUCUCAAAAAGCCGAUUGUAGUCCGGAUCGCAGUCUGCAACUCGACUGCGUGAAGUCGGAAUCGCUAGUAAUCGCGGAUCAGAAUGCCGCGGUGAAUACGUUCCCGGGCCUUGUACACACCGCCCGUCACACCAUGGGAGUUUGUUGCACCAGAAGUAGGUAGUCUAACCGCAAGGAGGACGC
rnacentral:rRNA from 1 species